rnacentral:rRNA from 1 species
UUGGAGGGCAAGUCUGGUGCCAGCAGCCGCGGUAAUUCCAGCUCCAAUAGCGUAUAUUAAAGUUGUUGCAGUUAAAAAGCUCGUAGUUGAACUUCGGGGUCUACCCAUUGGUCAGGCUUAAUUGUCUGUACUGGUGAGAUGGAUCUCUACCUUCUGAGGAACUUUCAUGUCAUUUAUUUGGUGUGAUGGGAAAUCAGGACUGUUACUUUGAAAAAUUAGAGUGUUUAAAGCAGACUAUCGUCUGAAUACAUUAGCAUGGAAUAAUGAAAUAGGACGGACUGAUUCUAUUUCGUUGGUUUCUAGGAUCACCGUAAUGAUUAAUAGGGAUAGUUGGGGGCAUUAGUAUUCAAUUGUCAGAGGUGAAAUUCUUGGAUUUAUUGAAGACUAACUACUGCGAAAGCAUUUGCCAAGGAUGUUUUCAUUAAUCAAGAACGAAAGUUAGGGGAUCGAAGACGAUCAGAUACCGUCGUAGUCUUAACCAUAAACUAUGCCGACUAGGGAUCGGAUGAUGUUAAUUUUUUAAUGACUCAUUCGGCGCCUUACGGGAAAC